rnacentral:rRNA from 1 species
GACGAACGCUGGCGGCGUGCUUAACACAUGCAAGUCGAACGGUGAACCUCUUGGUUGGGGCUCAGUGGCGAACGGGUGCGUAACAGUUGUGCAACCUGACCCCGGCUCUGGGAUAACUUAAAGAAAUUGGAGCUAGUACCGUAUCUUCACCGCUCCCCGCAUGGGUGGUGGUGGAAAGGGUUUCCGGCAUGGGAUGGGUCCGCGGUCUAUGAGCUUGUUGUUGGGGUAGUGGCCUACUACGGCGACGACGGAUAGGCGGCCUGAGGGGGUGACCGGCCACAAGGGGACUGAGGCACGGCCCAGACUCCAACGGGAGGCAGCAGUGGGGAAUAUUGCGCAAUAGGCCGAAGCCUGACGCAGCGACGCCGCGUGGGGGAUGAAGGCCUUCGCGUAGUAAACCUCUUUCCGCAGGGACGAAGCGGAAGUGACGGUACCUGAAGAAGAAGCACCGGCCAACUACGUG